UACAGAGGGUGCGAGCGUUGUCCGGAAUUACUGGGCGUAAAGGGCGCGUAGGCGGCCCGAUAAGUAGGGGGUGAAAUUCCGUGGCUUAACCACGGAACUGCCUUCUAGACUGUCAGGCUUGAGCACGGUAGAGGCAGAUGGAAUUCCCGGUGUAGCGGUGGAAUGCGUAGAGAUCGGGAAGAACACCAGUGGCGAAGGCGGUCUGCUGGGCCGUUGCUGACGCUGAGGCGCGAUAGCGUGGGGAGCAAACAGG
rnacentral:rRNA from 1 species